UCAGGCACAAACCACAUAUAAAGAAAGAAGGCAGAGCUUUAACUUCUCUUUUCAGAUAUUAUAUAAUGUGCAGAUUUCACUAAAAGAAAGAAGAAAAGGUGGGAAUGAAAAAAGGAAGAGAAUAAAGGAAGAAAUACAUGGUAUAUCUCAGAGUUCUUUAUUUUAACACUGAGUUCUGAAGGCACAAGAGAAUUCAAAAAAGGCAGAGAGCCCUACAGAUCCUAGCUCCAAGGAAACGGAAUAAAGUCAAAGAAUUAGGAAGAGAAGUGUUACACAAAAAUUGUAAAAGCUUCUAAGCAGGACCUUGAGUUGCACAACUCCAAAGGACACAGUCUCAGAGAGUACAAGAGAGAGGAAUCUGUAUAUCAGCACACAUGCAGCCUGUUCCCAGCACACCAGUUGGAAAGUACUACUGCAGAACACUGGAGCUACAGAAAUUUGUGGUGACAGCACCUGGUCUUCCUAGGUGGUCUCCCAUCCAAGUACUAACCAGGCC